UACGAAGGGGGCUAGCGUUGUUCGGAAUUACUGGGCGUAAAGCGUGUGUAGGCGGCCGCGCAAGUCGGAUGUGAAAGCCCCGGGCUCAACCCGGGAAGUGCACCCGAAACUGCGUGGCUUGAGUACCGGAGAGGUUGGUGGAAUUCUCGGUGUAGAGGUGAAAUUCGUAGAUAUCAGGAGGAACACCGGUGGCGAAGGCGGGACUCUGGGCCGAUACUGACGCUGAGGAGCGAAAGCGUGGGGAGCAAACAGG
rnacentral:rRNA from 1 species